GAUGAACGCUGGCGGCGUGCUUAACACAUGCAAGUCGAACGGUGAAGCAGGAGCUUGCUCCUGUGGAUCAGUGGCGAACGGGUGAGUAACACGUGAGCAAUCUGCCCUGGACUCUGGGAUAAGCGUUGGAAACGACGUCUAAUACCGGAUACGAGGCGUGGGGGCAUCCCCAACGCCUGGAAAGAACUUCGGUCCAGGAUGAGCUCGCGGCCUAUCAGGUAGUUGGGGAGGUAACGGCUCACCAAGCCUACGACGGGUAGCCGGCCUGAGAGGGUGACCGGCCACACUGGGACUGAGACACGGCCCAGACUCCUACGGGAGGCAGCAGUGGGGAAUAUUGCACAAUGGGCGCAAGCCUGAUGCAGCAACGCCGCGUGAGGGACGACAGCCUUCGGGUUGUAAACCUCUUUUAGCAGGGAAGAAGCGAAAGUGACGGUACCUGCAGAAAAAGCACCGGCUAACUACGUGCCAGCCGCCGCCGUAACAC
rnacentral:rRNA from 1 species